GACGGAGGGUGCAAGGCGUUGUUCGGAUUGACUGGGCGUAAAGGGCGUGUAGGCGGUCGGUCAAGUCUGGUGUGGAAAGCCCCGGGGCUCAGCUCCGGAAGUGCAUCGGAAACUAGCUGGCUGGAGCGCGAUAGAGGAGGGCGGAAUUCCUGGUGUAGCGGUGAAAUGCGUAGAUAUCAGGAGGAACACCGGCGGCGAAGGCGGCCCUCUGGAUCGUUGCUGACGCUGGAGACGCGAAAGCGUGGGGAGCAAACAGG
rnacentral:rRNA from 1 species